AACCUGACCGACUCAGGAAUUCAGAGGGAGAUCCCUAGGAAGUGGUCCCUAGAAGGAGGCACACCUCCAUCUCCUCACAGGCCAGCUCCCCUACCCAGUCCCUCACAAGGCCCAGCUCUCCAGUUCCCGACUUCCCAUGGAUCCUCUCCUCUUCCUCUCCUGCAGCAGCUGAGCCAGGGCUGUCUCUUGGGUUCAGUCCGGUUGGCUCCAGGCCAAUUCCAGGUGUCACAUCAGGCCUUGGCUUUCAGAAGGCUGCAGGGGGUUCCUCCAGGAAGGGCAGUGUGCUUCCUCCAGGGUCCACCAUGGAGGUGCCGCUGUGCCACUUCAGGAGAUCUGCUUGAAAAUGUCCACCUACUCCACCCAGGACAGCAGAAACUACUCGGGGAGGCUGUACUGGGCCCCUUCUUCCAGCUGAGGCUCCUAGUCUGAAGCGGAAACACUCAACAAAGAAAGCUCCCUCACCACCUAAUUGAUGUGGCAUUGGAAACAGCCUUGUUCUUCCUCACUUAGAAUAGACUCCCUUUGCUCCAUUCCAGAGAGGGGAGAAGAAGCAAUGAACUGCCUGGGGGAGGCAGUUCUGCAGAAAGAAUCUGAAGGCCACUGUGGAAGGAAUUGGCCACGGAAGCUGCAUGAUGACAACAGUGCUGGGGCAUCCAAAUUCAAAGGCUGUGAUAAGCUCUAGCUAAAGGCUGGAAACCAGCUCAGGCUCACAUACCAGGGUGUCCAACCCAUGCCCAACCAGGAAAAAAGAAGGAGAUUGAAGGAGAAAAAGGGAGAGAGAUGGUCACCAAGCUGAAGGCAGAUGAAGAAGUGAGAGAGAGCAAAGUGCCUUCUUGCUGGGAGCCUCCCUUGUGUCUGGAAUGAUCAGAAAUCGGGGAGAAAUGGUACAGCCUUCAGCAGACGAAAUUGAGCAGUUGUGCUGUGAGGCAGGCUGUGGUACUUAAAUGCAAUAGCUGAUCUAAUCACCAGUCUCGUUCUCUGGGAAGCUUUUUGCUGCAUUUUAGCACAGAAAAGUGUUGUCUUUCUCUCUUUUGUGGCUCGAGCUGCUAUUUAAGA
rnacentral:lncRNA from 10 species